rnacentral:lncRNA from 1 species
GUAUUCUUUAACAAAGUAUGAAUAGCAUGGUGAAGCACUGAAAAAUAAACCCAGUUGGGCUCCGUGUGGUGGGGUAGGUGUUAGUGGAUUCCCCAGGACACAACUGCUCAAAGACAUUGGUAUUCAGAGUUGCUUCGAAAAGAUUGUUCUAGAUGGAGAGAGAUGCAAGUGCAAGUUGAUACCAACUUACAGGCAUGUUCAAAGAUAAAGUAAGCUAUCUAAAAAUACUCAGUGUUCCCACUAAAAAAUUUUUUUAAAUUAUCUUACCAGAUCUUUCAUUAGCAGACCAUCAGCCAUCUUCCCCGUAACACUAAGAAAUUAC